rnacentral:rRNA from 1 species
UACGUAGGGUCCGAGCGUUGUCCGGAAUUACUGGGCGUAAAGAGCUCGUAGGUGGUUUGUCGCGUUGUUCGUGAAAACUCACAGCUUAACUGUGGGCGUGCGGGCGAUACGGGCAGACUUGAGUACUGCAGGGGAGACUGGAAUUCCUGGUGUAGCGGUGGAAUGCGCAGAUAUCAGGAGGAACACCGGUGGCGAAGGCGGCCCGCUGGGCAGUGGCUGACGCUGAGGCGCGACAGCGUGGGGAGCAAACAGG